GGAGGAAGUAGGGGAUCGCAAGACCUUGCGCUUUUGGAGCGGCCGAUGCCUGAUUAGCUUGUUGGUGAGGUAAAAGCUCACCAAGGCUUCGAUCAGUAGCUGGUCUGAGAGGACGACCAGCCACACUGGGACUGAGACACGGCCCAGACUCCUACGGGAGGCAGCAGUGGGGAAUUUUGGACAAUGGGGGCAACCCUGAUCCAGCCAUGCCGCGUGAGUGAAGAAGGCCUUCGGGUUGUAAAGCUCUUUCAGCCGGAACGAAACGGUUACGGUUAAUACCCGUGACUACUGACGGUACCGGAAGAAGAAGCACCGGCUAACUACGUGCCAGCAGCCGCGGUAAUACGUAGGGUGCGAGCGUUAAUCGGAAUUACUGGGCGUAAAGCGUGCGCAGGUGGUUUUGUAAGUCAGAUGUGAAAUCCCCGGGCUUAACCUGGGAACUGCGUUUGAAACUACAAAGCUAG
rnacentral:rRNA from 1 species